rnacentral:SRP_RNA from 1 species
CGUGGUCCUCCGUGCGGCGGUACCUCCCCCAACCCCUCCAGGGCCGGAAGGCAGCAAAGGUAAGGGAGCUCUUCCGGGUGCACGGAGGGCCGCUUUG